GAUGAAGAACGUAGCAAAAUGCGAUAAGUAAUAUGAAUUGCAGAAUUCAGUGAAUCAUCGAAUCUUUGAACGCACAUUGCGCCCCUUGGUAUUCCAUGGGGCAUGCCUGUUCGAGCGUCAUUUGUACCUUCAAGCUCUGCUUGGUGUUGGGUGUUUGUCUCGCCUCUGCGUGUAGACUCGCCUCAAAACAAUUGGCAGCCGGCGUAUUGAUUUCGGAGCGCAGUACAUCUCGCGCUUUGCACUCAUAACGACGACGUCCAAAAGUACAUUUUUACACUCUUGACCUCGGAUCAGGUAGGGAUACCCGCUGAACUUAAGCAUAUCAAUAAGCGGAGGA
rnacentral:misc_RNA from 1 species